CCCUUUGAUACUCUGGGCGGUACGCGCGCUACACUGGUUUAUAUAACGUGUAAUUUGGACGAUAGUCUGUAUAAAUCACUAAUAUAAAACCGUGAAUGGGAUAGUUUAUUGCAACUUACAAACUUUAACUAGGAAUCCCUUGUAGAAGUAGUGAAUUAUACUGCUUCGAAUACGUCCCUGCCGAUUGUACACACCGCCCGUCGUUUCUUCCGACUGGUACUCAUUGUGAAUUGCGAGGAGAUUCUGUCAAAUCGUUGUAAAUGCUGGGUAUUGGAGGAAGAAAAAGUCGUAAC
rnacentral:rRNA from 1 species